UGUCGCUCAACGGUAGAGCACUUGACUUUUAAUCAAGGUAUCGCAGGUUCGACUCCUGUCAGU
rnacentral:tRNA from 1 species